AUCUGCACAGAAGGCCUCAUCAACAUCAACAUCAACAGAAACACUGCAACAUGGGUCUUUAGCUAAGGAUGAGGAAGAUGAAGGGCGCAAUGAUGAGAGGUCCCCAAAGAAUGACAAAUGUUGGAACUUCCUGUGGGAAGUGGUGAAGGCAGCAAGACACUUUACCCUCUGUGUCCUCCUUCCUG